CCUUUCACUGACUCUGGCGUCACUGCUGCCUUUCUGAGUCUUCCCAAUUAAGAAGACCUAGAAGAGAAUGCCCACAUUCGAAACACCCAACAUUGCCAAGAGAGAACCUUAAACAGAAGAGAAGGACACAAUUGGAGAAAUUUAUUUUACCAAGGCUUUGACUGGAAUGGUGUGUUGUCCUUUAAGGAAUCAAACUUGACUUAUGGAGCCAUUAAAAGCACUUGGAAAAACUGGCCUCAUACUUUACACAGUCUCUGUGCAUGGUUUCUGACCUGUGGAUAUGAGAUUUCACAACCUGCUAAAAAUGAACUUUCAGGACCUACCCAUCCAGGAAUAAAUUAUCCUAGCUAUGAAAGAUCAGCCUAAAUUACCUGUUUAAAACACAAGACACUGAACCCAGAAAAGCCAUGGAAAUACUGCCGUGUCUCCACUCUAUGGAUAAGAAGACCGCGAUCUGGAGAGAAGAAAGAACUUGACCCAAAUCACACAGCACAUCAACAAAAGGUUGGAAUUUAGAGCUGAGUUUCCUGUCCCCCGAGUCCACUAUGCAGUGUGUGAUGUGGGGAGGGGAGAAGGUCCGUUGACCAUAGAUCUGAAUACCUGGGCUCCAGAGCUCAUUUUAUUAAACGAC
rnacentral:lncRNA from 13 species